UACGUAGGGUGCAGGCGUUAAUCGGAAUUACUGGGCGUAAAGCGUGCGCAGGCGGUUUGCUAAGACAGGUGUGAAAUCCCCGGGCUUAACCUGGGAACUGCGCUUGUUACUGGCAGGCUUGGAGUGUGGCAGAGGGGGGUGGAAUUCCGACGUGUAGCAGUGAAAUGCGUAGAGAUGUGGAGGAACACCGAUGGCGAAGGCAGCCCCCUGGGCUAACACGUGACGCUGAGGAGCGAAGCCAGGGGAGCAAACGGG
rnacentral:rRNA from 1 species